AGUGAACGCUGGCGGCAGGCCUAACACAUGCAAGUCGAACGGUAACAGGAAACAGCUUGCUGUUUCGCUGACGAGUGGCGGACGGGUGAGUAAUGACUGGGAAACUGCCUGAUGGAGGGGGAUAACUACUGGAAACGGUAGCUAAUACCGCAUAACGUCGCAAGACCAAAGAGGGGGACCUUCGGGCCUCUUGCCAUCGGAUGUGCCCAGAUGGGAUUAGCUAGUAGGUGGGGUAACGGCUCACCUAGGCGACGAUCCCUAGCUGGUCUGAGAGGAUGACCAGCCACACUGGAACUGAGACACGGUCCAGACUCCUACGGGAGGCAGCAGUGGGGAAUAUUGCACAAUGGGCGCAAGCCUGAUGCAGCCAUGCCGCGUGUAUGAAGAAGGCCUUCGGGUUGUAAAGUACUUUCAGCGGGGAGGAAGGGAGUAAAGUUAAUACCUCUGCUCAUUGACGUUACCCGCAGAAGAAGCACCGGCUAACUCCGUGCCAGCAGCCGCAGUAA
rnacentral:rRNA from 1 species